rnacentral:rRNA from 1 species
CCAGCAGCCGCGGUAAUUCCAGCUCCAAUAGCGUAUAUUAAAGUUGUUGCAGUUAAAAAGCUCGUAGUCGGACCCAAGACAAUAAUACCAUUGGUCGACCGUACAGGUUGUACUGAUGUCGUUGAGUCUCAUGAAUCGGGGGAAUGAAUGACUGUCAAAAGUUAUUCAAGGAACCGAGAUUUACUGUGAAGAAAUUAGAGUGUUCAAAGCAGGCUUACGCUUGAAUACAUUAGCAUGGAAUAAUAGAAUAGGACAGUGAUCUUAUUUUGUUGGUUUGAGGAUCGCCGUAAUGAUUAAGAGGGACAGUUGGGGGCAUUAGUAUUCGGUAGUCAGAGGUGAAAUUCUUGGAU